rnacentral:rRNA from 1 species
GCCUAUGGCCAUACCACCCUGAAUGCACGAUCUCAUCUGAUCACAGAAGCAAAGCAGGGCAGGCCUGGUUAGUAGUUGGAUAGCAGAAAGGGAGAGAAGAUAAUAGAGGAU